GGGCCUGUAGCUCAGGGGUAGAGCGCUCGCUUUGCAUGUUGGUUCUGACAGUAUGCGAGAGGCCUAGGGUUCAAAUCCCUACCGGUCCA